UGGGGAAUAUUGCACAAUGGAGGGAACUCUGAUGCAGCGACGCCGCGUGAACGAAGAAGGCUUUCGAGUCGUAAAGUUCUUUUAUAUGGGAAGAUAAUGACGGUAUCAUAGGAGGAAGCCCCGGCUAAAUACGUGCCAGCAGCCGCGGUAAUACGUAUGGGGCGAGCGUUGUCCGGAAUUAUUGGGCGUAAAGGGUACGUAGGCGGUCUAUUAAGUCAGGUGUGAAAGCGUGAGGCUUAACCUCAUUAAGCACUUGAAACUGAUAGACUUGAGUGAAGGAGAGGAAAGUGGAAUUCCUAGUGUAGCGGUGAAAUGCGUAGAUAUUAGGAGGAAUACCGGUGGCGAAGGCGACUUUCUGGACUUUUACUGACGCUCAGGUACGAAAGCGUGGGGAACAAACAGG
rnacentral:rRNA from 1 species